rnacentral:rRNA from 1 species
UACGGAGGAUGCGAGCGUUAUCCGGAUUUAUUGGGUUUAAAGGGUGCGUAGGCGGACGCUUAAGUCAGCGGUAAAAUUGCGGGGCUCAACCUCGUCGAGCCGUUGAAACUGGGUGCCUUGAGUGGGCGAGAAGUACGCGGAAUGCGUGGUGUAGCGGUGAAAUGCAUAGAUACCACGCAGAACUCCGAUUGCGAAGGCAGCGUACCGGCGCCCUACUGACGCUGAAGCACGAAGGCGUGGGUAUCGAACAGG